rnacentral:rRNA from 1 species
UACGUAGGGGGCCAGCGUUGUUCGGAAUUACUGGGUGUAAAGGGUUCGUAGGCGGUGCGGCAAGUUGGGUGUGAAAUCUCUGGGCUUAACCCAGAGGCUGCUUCCAAAACUGCUGUGCUUGAGUGUGGGAGAGGCGCGUGGAAUUGCAGGUGUAGCGGUGAAAUGCGUAGAUAUCUGCAGGAACACCCGUGGCGAAAGCGGCGCGCUGGACCACUACUGACGCUGAGGAACGAAAGCUAGGGGAGCAAACAGG